AACGAACGCUGGCGGUGUGCUUAACACAUGCAAGUCGAACGAGAACGUUUCCUUCGGGAAGCUAGUAAAGUGGCGCAAGGGUGAGUAACACGUGAAUAAUCUACCCUCGAGAUCGGGAUAACUUGGCGAAAGCUAAGCUAAUACCGGAUAAGACCACGUUUCAUAAGAAAUGCGGAAAAAGGAGUCUCAAGCUCCACUCGAAGAUGAGUUCGCGGACCAUUAGCUUGUUGGUGAGAUAAAAGCUCACCAAGGCUGCGAUGGAUAGCCGGCCUGAGAGGGUGAUCGGCCACACUGGAACUGAGACACGGUCCAGACUCCUACGGGAGGCAGCAGUGGGGAAUAUUGCGCAAUGGGCGAAAGCCUGACGCAGCAACACCGUGUGAGCGAUG
rnacentral:rRNA from 1 species